CAUAUCAAUAAGCGGAGGAAGCUUCCGUAUANGAGAGGAUAUAUCUAAAUAAAAAUUUUUAUUUACAGUCUAACUUGAUUUAUUAUUACAAUAGUCAAAACUUUCAACAACGGAUCUCUUGGUUCUCGCAUCGAUGAAGAACGCAGCGAAAUGCGAUACGUAAUAUGAAUUGCAGAUAUUCGUGAAUCAUCGAAUCUUUGAACGCACAUUGCGCCCUUUGGUAUUCCAAAGGGCAUGCCUGUUUGAGCGUCAUUUCUCCCUCAAACCCCCGGGUUUGGUGUUGAGCAAUACGCUAGGUUUGUUUGAAAGAAUUUAACGUGGAAACUUAUUUUAAGCGACUUAGGUUUAUCCAAAAACGCUUAUUUUGUUAGGGGCCACCACAAUUUAUUUCUUAACUUUGACCUCAAAUCAGGUAGGACUACCCGCUGAACUUAAGCAUAUCAAUAAGCGGAGGAAA
rnacentral:rRNA from 1 species